CACAAAAUAAUUUGCCACGUAUCAACUCAAAGGACGUAACCAUUUGACGCUUAACUUAUCAGAACGUUAAGAAAUCUGAAAGAUCGAAUGUUCAAAGCUUCAAUCGUCGACCAGUAAAAGUACGUUUCAGGUGAAGUUAAAUCAAUUAACAAACAAUGUUGAUUUCGUCAUCAUGUAAAUUCGGACUUCAUUGGAAACUGAUAAGAUGGAAUCGUCAGGAAUAAGAAAUCUGUCGUACAUUCAGCAAAUAAUUAAUGUGGUACAAAAGGAACUUGCUAAGUUUUUCAUUAAACAAUGGAAUUCUCGUUACAAAUCAACUAAUGGAGAAUGGGAUGAUACACAGAACAGUGGUAACAAAUUUUACACUUUGGAAGCAGGAAGAAAAAUAGACCAAAAAACACGACAAAAAUAUCAGGAUGGAGACACUAGUAAGUGGGACUGUACGAUAUUAUUUGAUACAAUAAUUUUUUCAAAUUCAAUU